UCUUUAUAUAAAUGUUUAAUUUUUAUUGAUAAAUUGUUUAAUAAUUUAAAUUAAAUAAUAUAUUGUAUUGGGGCGAUAGGAGUAUAAAUAUUGUAACUGCUUGUAUUUUAAUACUUAUAUUUUUGAUUAUUGUUUUUAAUGAUCCUUUAAAAGAUUAAGAGAUUAAGUU
rnacentral:rRNA from 1 species